CAUCAUUCUAAAUGGAGAAAAUUGAAAACAUAUUCUCUAAAAACUGGAACAAGAUAAGGAUGUCCUCUUUCACCACUUCUAUUCAACAUCCUUGAAACUCUAGCCAGAGCAAUUAGCAAAAGAAAAAAUUAAAGGGAUACAAAUAGGUUAAGAAGAAUUCUAACUAUCACUAUUUGCAAAUGACAUGAUUCUGUAUCUACAAGAUCCAAAAAAUUCUACCAGAAAACUUCUAGGACUAAUAAAUGAAUUCAGCAAAGUAGCAGGAUAUAAAAUCAACACCCAUAAAUCUAACAAAAUUUUACACAUCAGUGAUAAAUUUACUGAAAGAGAAAUUAGAAAAACUACUCUAUUCACAAUAGCCUCAAAAAAAAAAAAACCCACCUGGGAAUCAAUCUAACAAAAGAGGUGAAAGACCUCUACAAUGAAAACUACAGAACGCUAAAGAAAGAAAUUGAAGAAAACCUCAGAAGAUGGAAAGAUCUCCCAUGCUCCUAGAUAGGCAGAAUUAAUAUUGUCAAAAUGGCCAUUCUAACAAAAGCAUUAUACAGAUUUAAUACAAUUCCUAUUAAAAUCCCAAUGACAUUCUUCAUAGAAAUAGAAAAAGCUAUGAUGAAAUUUAUUUGGAAAAAUAAGAGACCCACAAUACCAUUGUAGACCAGAAUAGAAGACACAGAGACAAAUCCACAUAAAUAUGUUAUGUCAUACUAGACAAAGGAGCCAGAAACAUUCACUGGAGAAAAGGUAGCCUCUUCAACAAAUGGUGCUGGCAAAACUGGAAAUCCAUAUGUAGCAAAAUGAAAUUAAACCUCUAUCUCUCACCCUGCACAAAAGUCAAUUCAAACUGGAUUAAAGACUUAGGCACUAGAACAGAGACCCUGCACCCAAUAGAAGAAAAGAUAGGCCCAAAUCUUCACCAUGUUGGCCUAGGAUCUGACUUCCUUAACAAGACUCCUAAAGCACAAGAAGUAAAAUCAAGAAUUAAUAAAUGAGGUGGAUUCAGGUUAAAAAAACUUCUUCUCAGCAAAGGAAACAAUAAUGUGAAGAGAGAGCCUACAGAUUGGGAGAAAAUCUUUACCACAUGCUCCUCUGAUAAAGCAUUAAUCUCUAAGUUAUAUAAAGAACUCAAAAAACUUAACACCAAAUAAUAAUAAUAAUAAUAACCCAAUCAAUAAAUGGGCUAAGGAACUAAACAGACAUUUCACAGAAGAAAAAUACAAUCGAUUAAUAAAUAUAUAAAAAAGUGUUCAACAUCUCUAGCAGUUAGACAAAUGCAAAUCAGAACUAAGCUAAGAUAUUAUCUCACUCCAGUCAGAAUGGCAAUCAUCAAGAAUACAGGCAACAUGGGCUGGGGAUGUGGCUCAAGUGGUAGCGCGCUCGCCUGGCAUACGUGCAGCCCGGGUUAGAUCCUCAGCACCACAUACAAACAAAGAUGUUGUGUCCGCCGAGAACUAAAAAAAAAAAAUAUUAAAAAAUUCUCUCUCUCGCUCUCCCCCACUCUCUCUUUAAAAAAAAAAAAAAGAAUACAGGCAACAAUAAGUGUUGGCGAGGAUGUGGGGGGAAAGGUACACUCAUACAUUGCUGGUGGGACUGCAAACUGGUGAAACCACUAUGGAAAGCAGUAUGAAGAAUCUUCAGAGAACUUGGAAUGGAACCAUCACUUGACCCAGCUAUCCCACUCCUCUUUUUAUACCCGAAAGACUUAAAAUCAGCAUACUAUAGUGAUGCAGCCACAUCAAUGUUAUAGCAUCUCAAUUCAC
rnacentral:lncRNA from 1 species